rnacentral:rRNA from 1 species
GAUGAACGCUGGCGGCGUGCUUAACACAUGCAAGUCGAACGGAAAGGCUCCUGCUUGCCGGGGUACUCGAGUGGCGAACGGGUGAGUAACACGUGGGUGAUCUGCCCUGCACUUCGGGAUAUGCCUGGGAAACUGGUUCUAAUACCGGAGAGGACGAUGGGUUGGAUGCCAUUGUGGAAAGUUUUUUCGGUGUGGGAUGAGCUCGCGGCCUAUCAGCUUGUUGGUGGGGGAGUGGCCUACCAGCGCGUCGCCGGGUCGCCGGCCUGAGAGGGUGUACGGCGUCCUGAGUCCUGCGGUACGGCCCAGACUCCUAUAUUAGGCAGCAGUGGGGAAUCUUGCACAAUGGGCGCAAGCCUGAUGCAGCGACGCCGCGUGUGGGAAGAAGGCUAUCUGGUUGUAAACUCCUUUCGGUAGAGACGAAGCGCAAGUGACGUUACCUGCAGAAGAAGCACCGGCUAACUACGUG